UGGGGAAUUUGGACAAUGGGCGCAAGCCUGAUCCAGCCAUGCCGCGUGCAGGAAGAAGCAUCUAUGGUGUGUAAACUGCUUUUGUACGGGAAGAAACACUCCUACGUGUAGGAGCUUGACGGUACCGUAAGAAUAAGGAUCGGCUAACUCCGUGCCAGCAGCCGCGGUAAUACGGAGGAUCCAAGCGUUAUCCGGAAUCAUUGGGUUUAAAGGGUCCGUAGGCGGUUUAAUAAGUCAGUGGUGAAAGCCCAUCGCUCAACGAUGGAACGGCCAUUGAUACUGUUAGACUUGAAUUACAAGGAAGUAACUAGAAUAUGUAGUGUAGCGGUGAAAUGCUUAGAUAUUACAUGGAAUACCAAUUGCGAAGGCAGGUUACUACUUGUGGAUUGACGCUGAUGGACGAAAGCGUGGGGAGCGAACA
rnacentral:rRNA from 1 species